rnacentral:rRNA from 1 species
UCCAAUCAGGUGCCAGGGGCCGAGGGAUAACGUAGGGUGCAGGCGGUGUGUCGAAUGAUGAGGCGUAAAGAGCGCGGAGGCGGCCUGUCGCGGCGGCUGUGAAAACCCGGGGCUCAACCCCGGGCCGGCAGUCGAUACGGGCAGGCUAGAGUUCGGCAGGGGAGACUGGAAUUCCUGGUGUAGCGGUGAAAUGCGCAGAUAUCAGGAGGAACACCGGUGGCGAAGGCGGGUCUCUGGGCCGAUACUGACGCUGAGGAGCGAAAGCGUGGGGAGCGAACAGGAUUAGAUACCCGGGUAGUC